rnacentral:tRNA from 2 species
UCUGUAGCUCAGUCGGUAGAGCAGAGGACUGAAAAUCCUCGUGUCACUGGUUCGAUUCCGGUCGGA